rnacentral:misc_RNA from 1 species
CAACUCACUGGAAACCAGCACACGCACACACACACACACACAAAUCAUAAGAAAGAGAUCUGCAAAGAAGAGAAGGCGUUGGUGUGAGCAAGCGGUGCCGGAGACGUCUGAGUGCACAGGCGCCCUUGAAACGCCAGCCCUCGCCAAGCGUUUCCACUCACGGGCCGUCUCCAUCUCUCCUGUGCUCCUCGCCCUUUCCGUCCCCCCCCUUCCUUCUCUGUUCUAUCUCCUUCAUCGUUAGCGCCGUUUUCGGUUUGUGGGUCGCGUGUUAUUCUCGGAGCGCUUUCCGUUUUUUGCGCCCCCCCUCCUCCUCUCCCUCGCGGCGAGGAGGCGAAGCGUGAACGGCGCAACGCUGCGUGAUGUCCGCCCCGAUCCUGUACGCUAGUCGAACCGACAGCUACCUCUUCCUCCGCAGACAAUGUGCUUGAUGUGGAAACCACACCCUGCAGUUCCUCUCCAUCGCUUAGCUUGGCACCUCCUGUCGUAUUUCUUGCCAUCCAUCUCGCCUACCGUGUGGCUGCCAAGUCUCUCCUGAGAGGCGUCCUCCACGGAGGCACCCGGUACAGGGGACCCGAUCCACCGAAUCCGCCGAGCACCAGCCAUGUCUUAUCCAUUACACUGCGACCAGCACCAGUUCUACAAUUCAGCGUGAGACACCCUCCUCUGCGCACCUCCGGUCUCGCCGAAGGCGCGUGGCUGUUGCGUCGCCGCUCUGUCACGACCCGCUUCCACCUCUUCAGCCCAUUGCCGCAAGUAAGUGUAUGCAUAUGUCUGCCUCUCCUGGCGUUUUCGGCUCUUGUGCCCGGCGUCAGGGAUGCAUUCCUGGACCCCACCACCACCACCAUUUCAGGUGUGGGCGGUGGGAUAACGAAUAUGCGCACACGUGCACCGGCACACCACCGCAAAAAGGCGUGCCUGCGAGCAGUGAAGGGUAGCGGCUGUCAACUCUCGCCUCCGUCUCUUCGACAGCUGGCAGGUGAGACGAACUUCACCUCCGCGUCGGACGGGGGAAGGGGAAGGAGAGACAAGACGAAGACAUUGUUGGUUUCGUCGGGGUGGUCACCAGAGAGUGGGCCGGCUAUGUUUCACCUCGUGAGGGUGGGUCCAUGCUCGCGCACACACACAUAAAUAUAUAUGUAUAUACGUAUAAGCGCCCCUUUUUUUUUUCAGGUCUUCUCUUCUUUCCCUGUGUGUGUGUGUGUCUGUGGUGCACAGCUCACUCACGACUGUCGAUUUUGUGCGGUUGGCUCUCUCCUCUGUUGCCUCUCUUCUACUCGUUGCAGACAUGUAUAUUAGUUUGCCCUCUUGCAGGACUCUCAUCCUAUUUACUUUCGGCGGCCUCCUGCCGCGGCGUACGGGUGCAUAUGUGCAUGUGGGGCGUGGUAGAUCCCUUUCAUUCUCCUUGUGCGAGGGGAGGAUGUGAAUUGGUUUUGCUAUCGUGUCCGUGAGAUCGGGUCGCACCCGCAUCGAUCAGCACCAAUCACGCUGGCCGCCGAGUAAGACAUGAUAGAUGAGGGACUGGUGCGCCCUGCACCUUCCUCGAAGUCAUCGAAAUGAUAAACAGCGGCUCGGCAAGGACAGAGCACAGAACCCAGCUUCUACCUUGCCACGUCGAACGCGUUCGGUGGCAUCGCCUAUAAACGUCCAGAAACGGGGAAUGUAACCCCUCAACUCGAAUGACCUUCCUCUCCCUCUUACCUCCCGCCUCCCCACACAAUUCUCUACCCCUAUCUAUUUGAUGUCGUGCUCGGGAGGGCAAGAAAUAUGUACACGCUUUCGGGGGAGGGGUGGCACAGUCACAUACACGCCAACCUGCAUGCGUGCAGGGCUAACGUGCGUGAGUGUCUCUUUCUUGCACUUUUUUGUUUUGUUUUCUUGGGCUCUCUCGCUCCUGUUCACUGGGCGUGUCCGUCUCUGUCCCACGCUUUCCAAUCGGCCGUUCAUCUCGCCAUGCUGUCUGCCUGUCUUUCACUUCAGUCCGGUCUCUUUCUCUCCGUGUCUCUGCUCGCUGCUCGCUCGCUUUUUACCUCUGCGGCAGAGCGUGUCCUUCUCCAGCGGCUUGCAUGCAUAAGCGGGUGGAAAACUGCUGUGCAACC